GUUGUAGUUCAGUGGUAGAGCACCUGAUUGUGGUUCAGGUUGUCGCGGGUUCGAACCCCGUCUUC
rnacentral:tRNA from 1 species